GAUGAACGCUGGCGGCGUGCCUAAUACAUGCAAGUCGAGCGAAGCGGGGACGGGUGAGUAACACGUGGAUAACCUCCUAUAAGACUGGGAUAACUUCGGGAAACCGGAGCUAAACCGGAUGAUUAGAGAUAUAUCCGCGCUGCAUUAGCUAGUUGGUAAGGUAACGGCUUACCAGGGCAACGAUGCAUAGCCGACCUGCGAGGGUGAUCGGCCAUUCUGGAACUGAGACACGGUCCAGACUCCUACGGGAGGCAGCAGUAGGGAAUCUUCCGCAAUGGGCGAAAGCCGGCCGGAGCAACGCCGCGUGAGUGAUGAAGGUCUUCGGAUCGUAAACCUCUGUUAUUAUGGAAGCGGUACCUAAUCAGAAAGCCCCGGCUAACUCCGUGCCAGCAGCCGCGGUAAUAC
rnacentral:rRNA from 1 species